rnacentral:sRNA from 1 species
UUAAUGCAACAUUUAGUUUAAGUUUCCUCUCAGUAAAAUCUUGAAUCCCCCAAUUCAGACACCUGCGUACAACUUCCUCUUGAUUGAACAUUCAAUAGCUUAGAAAAGAUCCACAAAACAAAUUCAAAUUUUAAUGUUUAAUUCAAAGGUAUUUUUAUGUCUAAAGUAAACGGCUCAGUAAAAUGGUUUAACGAAACUAAAGGCUUUGGCUUCCUAUCUCAAGACAACGGUGGUCAAGAUGUAUUCGUACACUUCAACGCUAUCGUUUCUGACGGUUUCAAAACACUGACUGAAGGUCAGAAAGUAAGCUUCAACGUAGAGCAAGGUAAAAAAGGUCCUCAAGCGACUGAAGUAACUCCUCUAUAAGACUGCUU